AAUUGGCGAUCCGUUGGAUACCGACCGAGUUAUAGACAAAAGUUGAUGCAAAAAUGAGGAAAAUUUUACAUUUUCUCAAACAGGGUAAGGAACUUGGUUCCUCGAAUAACUUCUGGCACAAACAUCUGAGGGCAUGGCCGUCCAUGAAGAAAAUGUAGCCAUUGGUGCCAUAUAUCGACCACAGGUUAAAGAUUGGCGAUCCGUUGGAUACCGACCGAGUUAUAGGCAAAAGUUGGUGCAAAAAUGAGGAAAAUUUUACAUUUUCUCAAACAGGGUAAGGAACUUGGUUCCUCGAAUAACUUCUGGCACAAACAUCUGAGGGCAUGGCUGUCCAAGAAGAAAAUGUAGCCAUUGGUGCCAUCUAUCGACCACAGGUUGAAGAUUGGCGAUCCGUUGGGUACCGACCGAGUUAUAGGCAAAAGUUGGUGCAAAAAUGAGGAAAAUUUUACAUGUUCUCAAACAGGGUAAGGAACUUGGUUCCUCGAAUAACUUCUGGCACAGACAUCUGAGGGCAUGGCCGUCCAUGAAGAAAAUGUAGCCAUUGGUGCCAUCUAUCGACCACAGGUUAAAGAUUGGCGAUCCGUUGGAUACCGACCGAGUUAUAGGCAAAAGUUGGUGCAAAAAUGAGGAAAAUUUUACAUUUUCUCAAACAGGGUAAGGAACUUGGUUCCUCGAAUAACUUCUGGCACAAACAUCUGAGGGCAUGGCUGUCCAAGAAGAAAAUGUAGCCAUUGGUGCCAUCUAUCGACCACAGGUUAAAGAUUGGUGAUCCGUUGGAUAACGACCGAGUUAUAGGCAAAAGUUGGUGCAAAAAUGAGGAAAAUUUUACAUUUCCUCAAACAGGGUAAGGAACUUGGUUCCUCGAAUAACUUCUGACACAGACAUCUGAGGGCAUGGCCGUUUAUCAAGAAAAUGUAGCCAUAGGUGCCAUCUAUCGACCACAGGUUAAAGAUUGGCGAUCCGCUGGAUACCGAUCGAGUGAUAGCCAAAACUUGGCGCAAAAAUGAUCCUUAUUAAACUUCAACUAAUUCGCAUUAAAAUAAAUCAAUUUAAAAAAAUUGUUAAAUUUCCCAAAAAAAAAGCUAAGGCCUUAGGAGAUUACUGCCGAGGUUUUUUAUGACUCUGAAAUGAGUCGUUAAGCGAGCUGGUUCGUAAUAAGGACUCAUUAACUCUGAGUUGACUCACUAAAAAGGGUUGUUGUUCUCAUCUCUACGCAGAAGACGGACUCCUUUAGACAGGAUAAGGGAAUAAGGGAAUGGAUAACUCAAGAGAAGUCUUUUCUCUGUAAAUUAGUUUGAAUGUCUGAAUAUUUCGGUUUAAUGUCACAUUCCAGAACAUGCCUGAAGUAAAAAAGGGAUACUCCAUCCCACUCCACGUUAGAGAAAUUGGCGUUUUUUUGGUGGUUUUAGCUUUCUUUCAAACUUCCAUCUUUGCCCAGAGGAAAACAGCAAAGUAAACGUUAUUUCUUGAGGACUAUUCAAUUCCACCAACAUCAACAACGAAAGAUAGUCAACGACAACAUGAAAACAUGCUUAACAACAGACCUAGACCUUCGUUGGAGAACCUUCAAUGGUUUUGUUUAUAGUCGAUUUUGGAGUUGUUCUUUGAUUUUGCCUUUAUUUUGAUGUUGUCGCAAUAAUAUUGGAAUCAGAAACGAAGAAUCAGUUAAGUGACGGAAGAGAUUAAAUCAACACGAGACGUGAUUCUGUGGUCGAUCGGUGCUUCGGUUGUGUAAAUAAUAAAACCUUUGAUCACGCACAUUCUCUCUCUCUCCCUCUCUCUCCCUGUCUCCGUCUCACCACAAAGCGUGUUGAGGUAACUUCAUGCUGACUGCUCAACAUCUGCUAGCAGCGUGACAUGUAUUGUGUUCAGCGCAAGUGAGCUACGCAAUUGCGACACACGCACGCAACUGCAGACACUUGAAAAACAAUCGUUAAAAAUAAUAUGCGAAGGUUGGUGACGCUCGUGAUCGUUGGUUCUCGUAUCUUGAAGUUGAGGAGAGAGUAACGUAGAAGAGGAGAAGUAACGUUGUCUGGUUCCGUUAUUUAUAAAGAACCCUUCUUUGAUCUGUUUUUUCGAUUCUUUGAACUUCCAUUGAAGAAUGGCUGUGGAGAGAAGGGACUUGGAUAAGACUCUUUGGUGAUGAUAAAGGGAUUUAUGUCGUCUACAAAUCUAGAACAGUUCUUUGAUUGAUCAUUCGAUUUUACUUUAAUUAUUGUUCUCUUCCGUUCUGGAUAUUGAAACAAAAGGAAUUCCUCAGCUCAAACUAGAAACUAGUCAACUAGGCUUCUUGAGGAACCUUCUUAUUGGUCAGGUGUUGUGAAGUGCCUCACCUGAGACAUUUCGCACCCUUAUAAACGUCUGUUAAUCAUCCCUUGUUCGCUUGAAUGAAUAGGUCAAAGCAGUAGAACGUUCACACCCUUCUGAAUAUUCUUCAACCUCAUCAUCUGGUGAUUGGUGCUCGUCCCUCUUCUUCUGCGUUAUGUUUCCCAUCCAUUUCAUCACUGUUUGUUUGACUUACCUAGACUAAGGGUGGUCAAUUGCUACCCUUAUACCGGUGGGAACCAAUGGGCAGUGUAUUUGAAAGGUAAUGCAAGACAUCGGAAAAUAAACCUUCGUUUCUUUGUGUCAAAUAGCAAUGGCGCAUCCGUUCGAGAAUGCCGCACCCAAAGCCUAAUGAGUCAUCAGUGUGAACGUUAGUCAAAUGCUUCGUGGUAAAGUUCAAUGCAAAGGCUUGGAAUGUAAAUUGAAAAACUUUACAU